rnacentral:rRNA from 1 species
AGACUUUGAUCAUGGCUCAGGAUGAACGCUAGCUACAGGCUUAACACAUGCAAGUCGAGGGGCAGCAUGACGGAAGCUUGCUUCCGUUGAUGGCGACCGGCGCACGGGUGAGUAACGCGUAUCCAACCUGCCCUUGUCCAUCGGAUAACCCGUCGAAAGGCGGACUAACACGAUAUGCAGUCCACAGCAGACAUCUAACGUGGACGAAAUGUGAAGGAGAAGGAUGGGGAUGCGUCUGAUUAGCUUGUUGGCGGGGUAACGGCCCACCAAGGCGACGAUCAGUAGGGGUUCUGAGAGGAAGGUCCCCCACAUUGGAACUGAGACACGGUCCAAACUCCUACGGGAGGCAGCAGUGAGGAAUAUUGGUCAAUGGGCGAGAGCCUGAACCAGCCAAGUAGCGUGCAGGAAGACGGCCCUAUGGGUUGUAAACUGCUUUUAUACGGGGAUAAAAUGAGCCACGUGUGGCUUAUUGCAGGUACCGUAUGAAUAAGGACCGGCUAAUUCCGUGCCAGCAGCCGCGGUAAUACGGAAGGUCCGGGCGUUAUCCGGAUUUAUUGGGUUUAAAGGGAGCGUAGGCCGUCUGUUAAGCGUGUUGUGAAAUGUCGGGGCUCAACCUGGGCAUUGCAGCGCGAACUGGCAGACUUGAGUGCGCAGGAAGUAGGCGGAAUUCGCCGUGUAGCGGUGAAAUGCUUAGAUAUGACGAAGAACUCCGAUUGCGAANGCAGCCUGCUGUAGCGUAACUGACGCUGAAGCUCGAAAGCGUGGGUAUCGAACAGGAUUAGAUACCCUGGUAGUCCACGCGGUAAACGAUGGAUGCUCGCUGUUUGCGUCUGACGUAAGCGGCCAAGCGAAAGCGUUAAGCAUCCCACCUGGGGAGUACGCCGGCAACGGUGCAACUCAAAGGAAUUGA